CUUUAUGGUUGAACAGAAGAUGGGCUGACUCCAGCGAAGUUGAACCGUUGAGCACGACUGCGGAAGCGAUUGCAUGCCUUGUAAGCCAUAGAUGUUCAUAUGAUCUUGAAUUAGCUGCUUUUUGGUUUCACCAAUCAUCGAUUUGGGUCGUGAUCCGCUCAUCGAGACAUCGACCCUUGUUGUGCCCGCCUCGUUCUCGAACCUCGAUCCGGGUCAGGAAACGCACAAACGACCAUCGAACCCGGCUACUAUGGGUUCUCGAAUCCCUAGCCUCUCAUUUCCUCCCACACGCCGUCUCGCCUCUCUUUGCCCCAUAUCGAUGGCGCCUCGGUGUUGCGGCGGCGUCGAGUGCCUAUAUCGUCCUAAUCUCCUCAAGCCAGGGCCUCGCGCACACCAGCGCCUGCCCCAUCGGGAGCGACCUGCCCACUCACAUGCGCGGCGAGCGCGCCGCCGUCGCCCGGUCGCCGACGUCCUGAUCCACUACGCCGUGACCAUCUUCAUCGUCGACCCCGCCUUCGCCGCCAGGGCAACGGGUCCUUCCUAUCGCUCCAUGGCCUCGCGGCCGAGGUGCCUGGUGCGUCCUUUUGCCGCCUUCCACACCAGCGGCGUGGACAGGGUGGUGUGUACCGGUUCUAGAUGUGGUCGACGCCGACGAGUACCAGGUACAUGUGAUUGAUGCUUUGCUUUUGGCCAUGGAUGCAAUUGGGAACUCAUUCAGUGAGUUGAGGCUACAGGUUUUCAACAUCACGAACUUCGUACUUAUGGAGUGGAGCUACCAAAAUAUCUAGGAGGUAAAAUCACUAUAUACAUAUUGUUUUCCCACGGCUGCAUUAGGAGACGCGCAUCGGCUCACCGAAGUAAACUUAUGUAUUCCUGCUUUUCUGUGUGGACUUCUAUAGGCUUACUGAAGUACAACUUGUUUAUUCUUUCCAGAAAUUAACUCCUUGAUCUUUGAAAUUGUCAAUCUCCAUAUCACAUAGAAGGUGCUCAGUGCAAUGCAAUUGUCCAUCUCUAUAUCACACAGAAGUGAGCCUUUUUGAAGUUGUUUUAUGAAAUAAGGCUUGUAUAAGGUCUGGUCUUUCGGGUAUACAAUCCUUCCUUAAGAAUACUAUACUUGCAGGAGAAUAACAUUUAUUAUAGGAUGCCACUUUGUAAGCUCCCAUUCAGAAAAGUAUACAAUAGCACAUUUGAAAGAUGAGCAUUGGCAGCUCUUCUAAAUCUGUGUUUUCCAUUAAUGAACUACUUAAUUUAAUCAAUAGGCUCACGUCAGUUGCCAUGCUAACUGAAAAUCUAUAUGAUCUCUUCCACGUAGUAUGUCAAAUGAUGCGACUGUCAACCGAAAGUUCUAAAUUGCUGGGGUAAUUGGACCUUAUUAUACCAAUGGAACCAAUGGCCGCAUUAUACGAUGCGACAAUUUCCCACUUUCCAAUCCAGUAUUUCGUUCAACUAUAACUAAUUGUCUCCAAUACUUCAGUUCAAUUCAGAAGUCAUGAUAUGUAUUUUCUAUUCUGAUUUCCAAAUAAUUACUUAAAAGGAAUUCCGAUACAUGCAACAGAAUUCAUUCAUAAUUCAAUUGUGAGAUGCUAUUCGGAGAUGAUCAGAAUAAUCCCUGAAUUCAAUUUCUUUAUUAAACAAAACUGUUGGAUGUUGGAACUUAUCUAUAUGUAUACAAGUGUUUUGAAUGAAAAUAAGGGUCAAAUGCAGGACAUCCAAGGAAUCGGUUGAAUAUUGGAGCGAAUAAUUAGUUGUAGAAAUAAAUUUCUUCCUAUUGUGGCAGCUGCAAUUUUUUUUAUUGUCCAUCAGUUGUGAUUACGACUAUAAAGAGCUAGGAAAGUUUAUUGUCGACCAGCUCUGAUUACGGCAAUCUACAUAAUUUUUUCAUACAAAAUGAGUUAUUUUAAUUUCCACUGUUGGGUCAGUAAGUUAUCUUUUUUAUUUCAAAUUGU